UACGUAGGGUGCGAGCGUUGUCCGGAAUUAUUGGGCGUAAAGAGCUCGUAGGCGGUUUGUCGCGUCGGCCGUGAAAACUUGGGGCUUAACCCCAAGCCUGCGGUCGAUACGGGCAGACUUGAGUUCGGCAGGGGAGACUGGAAUUCCUGGUGUAGCGGUGAAAUGCGCAGAUAUCAGGAGGAAUACCGAUGGCGAAGGCAGGUCUCUGGGCUAUAACUGACGCUCAUGCACGAAAGCGUGGGGAGCAAACAGG
rnacentral:rRNA from 1 species